rnacentral:rRNA from 1 species
AUUGAACGCUGGCGGCAUGCCUUACACAUGCAAGUCGAACGGCAGCACGGGUGCUUGCACCUGGUGGCGAGUGGCGAACGGGUGAGUAAUACAUCGGCACAUGUCCUGUAGUUGGGGAUAGCCCGGCGAAAGCCGGAUUAAUACCGCAUACGCUCUACGGAUGAAAGCGGGGGACCUUCAUCCCUCGCGCUAUCGGGUUGGCCGAUGGCUGAUUAGCUAGUUGGUGGGGUAAAGGCCUACCAAGGCGACGAUCAGUAGCUGGUCUGAGAGGACGACCAGCCACACUGGGACUGAGACACGGCCCAGACUCCUACGGGAGGCAGCGGUGGGGAAUUUUGGACAAUGGGCGAAAGCCUGAUCCAGCAAUGCCGCGUGUGUGAAGAAGGCCUUCGGGUUGUAAAGCACUUUUGUCCGGAAAGAAAUCCUUGGGUCUAAUACAGUCGGGGGAUGACGGUACCGGAAGAAUAAGCACCGGCUAACUACGUG